AGUGGCUGAAAGCACCAUAAUCACUGAAUCGUGAGCCAUUCUGCUUAGCAGAUGCAAAAAGUUUUGCAACUGCUGAUUCUGGAGCAUCACUCUCCGUCAAAGAAGCAUCAGUGCCAAAAGGAGAUCGAAGUUUUCCAUAAUGUUGACAAGCUAUUUUAAGCAGAGAGAGAAGCAACUUCAGUAUUUCUCCUUUUCUAUAAUCCAUGUCAGCUGAUUCACAAUUAGCAAUUCUCUCAUCAAUCCAUUUAUUCAACUCUUUACUUCCAACGUUGCCUCCCACCAGUGGACCUGGAAA
rnacentral:misc_RNA from 1 species